AUUGAACGCUGGCGGCAUGCCUUACACAUGCAAGUCGAACGGCAGCACGGGUGCUUGCCCCUGGUGGCGAGUGGCGAACGGGUGAGUAAUACAUCGGAACAUGUCCUUUAGUGGGGGAUAGCCCGGCGAAAGCCGGAUUAAUACCGCAUACGAUCUACGGAUGAAAGCGGGGGACCUUCGGGCCUCGCGCUAUAGGGUUGGCCGAUGGCUGAUUAGCUAGUUGGUGGGGUAAAGGCCUACCAAGGCGACGAUCAGUAGCUGGUCUGAGAGGACGACCAGCCACACUGGGACUGAGACACGGCCCAGACUCCUACGGGAGGCAGCAGUGGGGAAUUUUGGACAAUGGGCGAAAGCCUGAUCCAGCAAUGCCGCGUGUGUGAAGAAGGCCUUCGGGUUGUAAAGCACUUUUGUCCGGAAAGAAAUCCUUGGCCCUAAUACGGUCGGGGGAUGACGGUACCGGAAGAAUAAGCACCGGCUAACUACGUG
rnacentral:rRNA from 1 species